rnacentral:rRNA from 1 species
GAACUUCCGUUAUUGAUUAUGACGUACUUGUACUGAUUGAGAUUUUAACACGAAGUGAGUGGCGAACGGGUGAGUAACACGUGGGUAACCUGCCCAGAAGUAGGGGAUAACACCUGGAAACAGAUGCUAAUACCGUAUAACAGAGAAAACCGCAUGGUUUUCUUUUAAAAGAUGGCUCUGCUAUCACUUCUGGAUGGACCCGCGGCGUAUUAGCUAGUUGGUGAGGUAAAGGCUCACCAAGGCAGUGAUACGUAGCCGACCUGAGAGGGUAAUCGGCCACAUUGGGACUGAGACACGGCCCAGACUCCUACGGGAGGCAGCAGUAGGGAAUCUUCCACAAUGGACGCAAGUCUGAUGGAGCAACGCCGCGUGAGUGAAGAAGGGUUUCGGCUCGUAAAGCUCUGUUGUUAAAGAAGAACGUGGGUAAGAGUAACUGUUUACCCAGUGACGGUAUUUAACCAGAAAGCCACGGCUAACUACGUGCCAGCAGCCGCGGUAAUACGUAGGUGGCAAGCGUUAUCCGGAUUUAUUGGGCGUAAAGCGAGCGCAGGCGGUCUUUUAAGUCUAAUGUGAAAGCCUUCGGCUCAACCGAAGAAGUGCAUUGGAAACUGGGAGACUUGAGUGCAGAAGAGGACAGUGGAACUCCAUGUGUAGCGGUGAAAUGCGUAGAUAUAUGGAAGAACACCAGUGGCGAAGGCGGCUGUCUGGUCUGCAACUGACGCUGAGGCUCGAAAGCAUGGGUAGCGAACAGGAUUAGAUACCCUGGUAGUCCAUGCCGUAAACGAUGAUUACUAAGUGUUGGAGGGUUUCCGCCCUUCAGUGCUGCAGCUAACGCAUUAAGUAAUCCGCCUGGGGAGUACGACCGCAAGGUUGAAACUCAAAAGAAUUGACGGGGGCCCGCACAAGCGGUGGAGCAUGUGGUUUAAUUCGAAGCUACGCGAAGAACCUUACCAGGUCUUGACAUCUUCUGACAGUCUAAGAGAUUAGAGGUUCCCUUCGGGGACAGAAUGACAGGUGGUGCAUGGUUGUCGUCAGCUCGUGUCGUGAGAUGUUGGGUUAAGUCCCGCAACGAGCGCAACCCUUAUUACUAGUUGCCAGCAUUAAGUUGGGCACUCUAGUGAGACUGCCGGUGACAAACCGGAGGAAGGUGGGGACGACGUCAAAUCAUCAUGCCCCUUAUGACCUGGGCUACACACGUGCUACAAUGGAUGGUACAACGAGUCGCGAGACCGCGAGGUUAAGCUAAUCUCUUAAAACCAUUCUCAGUUCGGACUGUAGGCUGCAACUCGCCUACACGAAGUCGGAAUCGCUAGUAAUCGCGGAUCAGCAUGCCGCGGUGAAUACGUUCCCGGGCCUUGUACACACCGCCCGUCACACCAUGAGAGUUUGUAACACCCAAAGCCGGUGGG